AUCCCUCCUUAGAGUUCUGCAGUGAGCCCAGGAUAUGGAGGUGGAAAGGGAAAGAUGAUUCUGGAAAUUUCUUCCCACCUUCAGAUGCUGUGGCUUUAUGGAGCUACUCUCCUGGCUGCCAAAAGUUGACCACUGGCACAAACUCACCUCUGUUCCUCAAGCAAAGCAACCAAAGCGAUAUGCAACACCUAUGCCCAACUCAGAGCUCUGUUCCUGCCGACCUCCCUGCCUCUGGGAAGGGCAACUGGAGUGAAGACUGUGAUACCUUUGAGGGAGACAGAAGGAUGAGCUUGAGGUUACAAAGACAUGAACCAGUCUUUAGAUCUUCUGGGUUGCGUGGUGACCAUUUCAGGCCCCAAAGGGAUGCAAAGGACUGCGACUUUCAUCUUAUGUGAUCAAAUGACUGAGGAAAAGAGAUGAAGACGUGUCACCAUACAGGACUAUAAGAGGGAAAGAGCAGUAAGAGCUGGAGCAGAGAGAAAUUGAUCAUAAUGUCAGUAACAUCAUCUUUCUGUACUUUUACCUGAACUAUCUGGCAGCAAGUAAAAUUAAUAUUUUUAAUCUGAAUUAUGACAUUACAUUAAUUUUCUGUACUUGCUGUCAAAUUGUAAGAAUAUUUCUGCGAGGUAAGUGACUUCUAUAUCAAUAUCUCCCACAAUCUGUUCAAUUACAUGUUUUUGAAUGAAGAGAUAUUACUAAGGUUUUUAAAGUUUUAUAACAUUUUCUUCUCAAUAUAAUGACCACAUCAUUACAACAUAGUAUGUAAUUAUAUUUGUACUUGAGCUUAGAUUCCAUGUGCCUGGAUGGAGUGAUUCAAUUCCUACUUCAUGAUUAUGCAGUGUCAUAAAAAUUGAAAUAAAUAUGCUACAAAGCAAAAUGCGAAUAGCAUAAGUUAUUACAUAGAGAACUCAUUCAGUCCAAAGUUGCAUAAUCAUCAUAUGUUCAGUUUAUUACUUCAUUUUUUCCUUUUAUUACUCUCAAGAAAUUAGAAUAAACUUUAUAGGCUCUUAAGCUUCUGAUUUAUUUUAUAAUGUAAACUAGACUACAGAUCCAUAGUCUGUAGAUUUCCAUUAUUAAGCUGUUGACUCUUGGCUUGGAGAUUAAUUUUUUGAGAAAAUACUUAUCAGUUGAUCACACAAUAAUGUUGAACUUAUAUUGUAAGAAGCGAGUCAAUAAAGUGAAAAAUGAUAUGAAAGUCACACUUACAUUAAACAACCAUAAGAUUUGGGGUCCUAAAAAACCAAAAGAAGUUUAAAAAUUAAAAAAAAAAAAAAAAAAAAAUACUCUGAAGAGUUCACAGUAAAUACUUGUUUCUAUACAAAGCAAAUUCCUCCUCACUUGAGUGAAGCCUUAUCUUGGGCCACAUAUAAAAUAAUUAUAUAAAUAUAUAAUUAUAUAAAUAAAUUAUAUAAAUAAAAAUAUAUAAGAUUCAGUGUACAUUAAGAAACACUACUUUUCUUUCUCUAUAUUUUUCUAUUAAAAUGUUAAAAAAAAAAAAGGCAACAAAACUAGUGGAACAUUUGACCCCAUUUUUAUGAAACUAAUGCAUCAGUGUCUAGCUCAAUGGAAAUGGCUGCAACUACCAGUGAGUUAUCAAGGUGUUCAUCAGGGAUUUUGAUGACAUUUCUCUGUUGUCACACUUCAUAUCUUUGAAAAUAGCUGUUCAUAAAUGUACAUACUGCCAGAGAGCAAAGACUAUAAAAAGGCAUAAUUAGGAAGUGAGGGAUAUUCCUCCCUGGUAAAAUAGGGCUUUAAAAAGUCUACUAAAGAGACAAGAUCAAUUUUUUCUUUGAGUUGAAAGUGUGAUUGCAACUUUACAUAUAUUCCAUUUGAAAAUUCACAGGUAAUGUAUAUACGUUAACUUAAAAUUAAGUUGCAGAAUAUAACAAAAAAAAAUUUUUUUGAGAAAUCUUGAAAACUAUUCCCAAAUUCCUGUAUUGAAAAAUAUUCAGCUAUGCUUUCUGUUUCACUGUUCAAAGGAAUGUGUUUAACAUAUCGAAAUGCAUUAAAAAAUUGCCUUAAUUUGUGUUUGAAAUAAAGCUUAAAUUAUGGAAAACACUGUUAUGAUUUGGAACACAUUAUAUGUAAGUUGAUUUUCAACUUGAAGACGUUUAAUUUAUCCACAAAAAAACAAUCAAUCAAAUCCACCAAAAAUACAUCACAAAAUAUUUUAAAUUUUUUGUAAGCUUUUUGAAGUAUUGAUGAGAAUUCUGGGCAUUUUUUAAUGCAGUUAACUUGUUAUGAAGUUAUUUUAAGAAAAGACACAAACCCAAAUUUAAUUAUUAAACAAGAAAACUUACAUGUCUGCUUAAUAAGGGAAAAUAUAUGCUUUCACAGUCACAAACACAUAUAACUAGGUUGAUACACUGCUAUCAGCAAUGACUGCAUUUUACUCACCAACUGGCUUAAGCAUGUGAAACCUGCAUGUAUUACAUAUGGCAAUUCAACUGAACGUGUGGUGGGCAUGAAAGGCAGAAUUAGCACUGCACCCUCCUUUCUGCAAUGUUCCUUUGUUAUCUACACCAGUCACACUGAAGCUACGCAGAACUGACUCAUUAAAAAUAUAACUUUAAAAAAACCAUAACAUAAUAAUGUUAAAAGUUUACAAUCCUUUGUGGUCAAAUUAUUAGCUCUCUAGAGCCACAAGCAGCCCAUGGGCUGGACACAUCUUUAAAGUUUAGAUACUUGUCACUGAGCUGAACAGACUUCUGCUGAAUGUUUUUUCUGGUUGAGUAUCACAAUUUUUUAAGACAGAAUUUUUAUUCUAUAUUAUGACAGAAGUGUUUAUAAUGCCAGUUAACAACUAUAAGAAGAUGGAAUUCUUCCUGUAAGAUUAAUAUUGUCAUUUUAGGAACUACUUCCUGCUUUUAAUGACUUCAACAAGCCACAGAUGUGUAGACAGUCUUACUCUUCCACGAUAUAUCUGACAUCAAGGUAAGUGGGAAUACUGAUCUGAGGCAAAGUACCUGCUAGUUUACCUGCUAGUUUUUCUUUCUAGAGCUCAGAUUGGUGGGAAAUGUAAUUUUUCUGAUGUAGCCUCAUAGAACAUCAGGCUGUUUGGUCUUUUUAUUACCACGAACUGAGAAAAGCUAUCUUGAUUGAUAUAGAGUUAUCUUUCACUUGUUAAGAUGCAGGAAGUCAUUCACGGCCACCAUGGACUUCUAUCUGCACUCUAUUUGUAAUUGAAGAUUUGAUUAAUGAUAAGUAGGCUUCAAUGAGAUUAACAAAAGAAGCAAAGGCCAGCUCCUGGCAAAAUUUCAGGUUACUCCUUUGACUGCACCUUUAUUUAAAAAAGCCUCAUUUUUCACAGGAGAACAGAUACAAUUUUUUCUACACUUAAUCAUAAAACUCAAGCCAUUUGCACUACACUUGAAAGCUUUACACAGUCUAAUUUGCAGGUAAUGUUAUCCACCACCUAUAAUCAUACACAGUGUCCUUGUUCUGUUCAUUUCUUGUCAUCUUAACACUUCUAAUUGGAAAAAUCAGAUGAUUUUCCAGCUUCAACUGCAUGAGCCAAAGAAAAAACACUGGCUCUGAACAAUUUGCGACCCUCCACCAGUAGCUGGAAGCAUUGACAUCAAUUAAAGAUUGACAUUUCAAAACAUUUUUUAACCUCAUGAAAUCACCUACAAAAUUGUUGAAAUAAGACUGCAUGGUUUUUUACUUUUUAGUUUCAUUGCUAAAGGAGAGUGAUUUCCAAAGUUCUAUACUCUAAAAUUCAAAUUAUCACAGUCACUUCAAACUUUAGGAAAGUACAAAACAAAUGUUUAUAUAUCAAUACUUAAAGCAUGGAUAUUUCGUAAGUGUCUGGGAAAUUGAAUUCCAGUUUACACGUAUCUAUAACCAUUUGAAAUGAAGAUCAUCUCUUACAAACUUUUCCCAAAUCUGUAUUCUUCAAUUGCGUUCGGGGUCAUAUUGCAUAUGCAACCUACUGCAGAAAGCAUAUGAAGAUAUAUUUAAGAAGGACUUGAUACUGAAGAAGAUUCAAUAACUUUAAAAAAAUUAAAAGGGGAUAAUAUAAGAAGGAAAUGUGGUUUUUGUUUGUUUGUUUGUUUGUUUUUAAACCUUUGACCUGCUUGGUAGAAACAUCUACCACAUUAUUUUAAUCCGGAGAGUUAACUGAAGUUUGUGAAGGUAAGGAAAACACUCUCUUCUCUUGAGUCAUUAGUAUUUGAAAUUAAAUUAUUUCAAGUGUGUGAAAAUGCUUGAGAAACAGAACAUGAAAUAUAGUGUGAAAACUUGAUUGUAUUCAUAGUCACAAAGAGACUAACAUUGCUGUAGUGCCUUUUCUCCGAGUUCAGAGCUUAAAAAAAAAAAUCAAUUAAGUUUAUUUGCUCACAUGCUUAACCUCCUUAACUGUUACAAUGAAUAGUAAUUCAAAUAUGGAUUAACUGAUGAGUUCUCAUACAUAAUUACAGAGUUUGUAUCUUAAUGAAAAUCACAUGUAAAAUUGCAGAUACAUUUAUGAUUUUUUUUUCUUUUAAGGUUCUCAGUGAUUUUAUGCUUAUGAACUAUCUCGACAGACAGCAAGAUAACCAUCUUGGUCAUGCUUUUGUCCAAUAUUUUUCCAUAUAUCAUAUAGCAGCUAUUUUUUGAUCACUACUGUAAAAAAAUAAAU